CUAUGCGCCUUGCCAGCCCGCUCAGUCAGAGUUUGAUCCUGGCUCAGGAUGAACGCUAGCGGGAGGCCUAACACAUGCAAGCCGAGCGGUAGAGAUUCUUCGGAAUCUUGAGAGCGGCGUACGGGUGCGGAACACGUGUGCAACCUGCCUUUAUCAGGAGGAUAGCCUUUCGAAAGGAAGAUUAAUACCCCAUAAUAUAUUUGAUGGCAUCAUUAGAUAUUGAAAGCUUCGGCGGAUAGAGAUGGGCACGCGCAAGAUUAGAUAGUUGGUGAGGUAACGGCUCACCAAGUCGAUGAUCUUUAGGGGCCUGAGAGGGUGAUCCCCACACUGGUACUGAGACACGGACCAG
rnacentral:rRNA from 1 species